rnacentral:tRNA from 1 species
GCCUGGGUGGCUCAGUCGGUUAAGCAUCCGACUUCGGCUCAGGUCAUGAUCUCACAGUUCGUGGGUUCGAGCCCCGCAUCGGGCU